UAGAACUCUUCACACGAGGUGCUGUUAC
rnacentral:piRNA from 1 species